GUCAGCUCGUGUCGUGAGAUGUUGGGUUAAGUCCCGCAACGAGCGCAACCCUUGAUCUUAGUUGCCAGCACUUCGGGUGGGCACUCUAGGAUGACUGCCGGUGACAAACCGGAGGAAGGUGGGGAUGACGUCAAAUCAUCAUGCCCCUUAUGACCUGGGCUACACACGUACUACAAUGGUCGAUACAACGGGAAGCGAAACCGCGAGGUGGAGCCAAUCCUAUCAAAGUCGAUCUCAGUUCGGAUUGCAGGCUGCAACUCGCCUGCAUGAAGUCGGAAUUGCUAGUAAUCGCGGAUCAGCAUGCCGCGGU
rnacentral:rRNA from 1 species